GACGCGGCAAGGGGGCGGGGCCAAAGGCCCUAAGCUCGGCGUUCCAGAGAGUGGGGAGGGGGCAAGUGUCAGUCAGUACGGGAGUCCGGCGGGUUACAGCGGAGGCCUAGGUGGCAGACAGGGGGCCCGGGCCGCUGCGUGUUGUCCACCCAAGAUGGAGUUCCUCCUGGGGAACCCGUUCAGCACACCAGUGGGGCAGUGCCUCGAAAAGGCAACAGAUGGCUCCCUGCAAAGUGAGGAUUGGACGUUGAAUAUGGAGAUCUGUGACAUCAUCAAUGAGACGGAGGAAGGGCCAAAGGAUGCCAUUCGAGCCCUGAAGAAGCGGCUCAACGGGAACCGGAACUACAGAGAGGUGAUGCUGGCAUUAACAGUGCUGGAGACAUGUGUGAAGAACUGUGGCCACCGCUUCCACAUCCUUGUGGCCAACCGAGAUUUCAUCGACAGUGUUCUGGUCAAAAUUAUAUCUCCCAAGAACAACCCUCCCACCAUUGUACAGGACAAAGUGCUUGCUCUGAUCCAGGCAUGGGCUGAUGCCUUUCGAAGCAGUCCUGAUCUCACCGGCGUUGUGCACAUAUAUGAGGAGCUGAAGAGGAAAGGGGUUGAAUUUCCCGUGGCAGACUUGGACGCUCUGUCUCCCAUACACACACCACAGCGGAGUGUCCCUGAAGUGGAUCCAGCCGCGACCAUGCCCAGGUCCCAAUCACAGCAGAGGACAAGUGCUGGUUCCUAUUCCUCGCCGCCUCCUGCUCCCUACUCCGCACCGCAGGCCCCAGCUCUGAGUGUGACUGGCCCCAUCACAGCCAAUUCAGAACAGAUUGCCAGGCUGCGGAGUGAACUGGACGUCGUUCGAGGAAACACAAAAGUCAUGUCUGAGAUGUUAACAGAAAUGGUCCCUGGACAGGAGGAUUCAUCUGAUCUGGAGUUGCUGCAGGAGCUCAACAGGACCUGUCGGGCCAUGCAGCAGCGCAUCGUGGAGCUCAUCUCCCGCGUGUCCAACGAGGAGGUCACCGAGGAGCUGCUGCAUGUGAACGAUGACCUCAACAACGUCUUCCUUCGAUACGAGAGGUUCGAACGAUACAGGUCUGGCCGAUCGGUUCAAAAUGCCAGUAAUGGAGUACUGAAUGAAGUAACCGAAGACAACUUAAUAGACCUGGGGCCAGGGUCUCCAGCCGUGGUGAGCCCAAUGGUGGGGAACACAGCGCCCCCAUCUUCCCUCUCCUCCCAGCUUGCAGGCUUAGACUUGGGGACAGAGAGCGUCAGUGGCACCCUCAGUUCACUCCAGCAAUGUAAUCCCCGUGACGGCUUUGACAUGUUUGCCCAGACGAGAGGAAACUCCUUGGCUGAGCAGCGCAAGACGGUAACCUAUGAGGAUCCUCAGGCUGUCGGAGGACUUGCUUCUGCACUAGACAAUCGAAAACAGAGCUCAGAAGGGACAGAGUUUCAGUCUUGUUGCCCAGGGUGGAGUGCAAUGGCGUGAUCUCGGCUCACUGCAACCUCUGCCUCCCGGGUUCAGGUGAUUCUCCUGCCUCAGCCUCCCCAGUAGCUGGGACUACAGGCACAUACCACCACACCCAACUAAUUUUGUAUUUUUAGUAGAGACUGGGUUUCUCCCUGUUGGUCAGGCUGGUCUCAAACUCUUGACCUCAGGUGAUCUGCCCGCCUCGGCCUCCCAAAGUGCUGGGAUUACAGGCGUGAGCCACCGUGCCCUGCUCAAUUCAACAUUCUUAACUCCCCAGUAAGUCAAAGAAAUAAUGGGCAACACAGACUCUUCCUAAUCUGAUCAGUGACUGGCUUGGGCCUUUCUGAAAGUGCUCUUGUGGGCUUCCCACAUUGGGUCCGAAGUUAGGACACAGAGCACAUUCCUCAGAGCAAGGGGCCAGCUGAGCUCACUGAGGGAGUGAAAAGCUCUGGUGGCAUCGUAGAUACCUGCUCAGAGUGCUGGACUCCACCUGGGACCCCAAACCACCCUCUCCCACCAUCAGCAGCAGGUGUCAACCCCCAGGACUGGAGUUGUCACAUCACUGCUGGUGAUAUGUGUUCUUUGUUCUUUUUCUUUGUGAAGGUCGUGUUAUUUUUUACAUUUGAUAGACACUGGGGUAUGCGUUCCUUUUACUGCUUAUUUUUACUUUAGUCUUACCCUAGAUCAUGGCAUUGGGUGAAGCCAGCUAUAGACAGAGCUGGCAUUUUUGUAAUAGAAAUAGGGGUCUUGCAAGUGAGCCCCGGAAGGGUACCUCCCAGAGCCAGGGUAGGUGAGGAGGUGAUUAAGGGUCAUCACCUCAUUUCUCUAGGCUGGGAGCCAACAUUCCAUUAACAUGGCUUCUAGGGAGCUUACUUCUUAUCAUGUCAUAUUUGACGGCAACUUAAACCUUUUUAGCCAUGUGCAUUUUUCAGAGUCUCUGUCCCUGAGGUGCUUGGCACAGGGGCCCAAGCAAGGUGACUGUUCAGGCAACCCCGUGGUACACCUUAGUAUGCCUGGAAGCUGUCACCUCCCUGGCUCUGGCUGCUGCGCCCCAGUGCUCAGCUGAACUUGGUUUCUUUGACUCCUGAAGCACAGCCAGCCAUUGAACACAGGGAAGAAAGGACGAGACUAAAGGGAGCUGUUGCUUUCAGCGCUGCUUCAUGAAUUUCCCCUAAAGAGACACAAAGAAGACUAAAGCCCCAUAGUCCCCUUUGUCAUCAGAGCCCUCGUUUUUGCUGUGUUUCUGUUGAUGGUAAAAUGUGCCUGCCUCUGUCUACCAGGCCACACCCAGCCCAGCGGAGCACGCACCUCCUCCAGUUCCCCUCUCCACUCAGAAAUGCACCAGGACGCAUUUCAAAAUCUCUUCAGCGGAGUAAACAGACCCCCUGCAUCCCCCCGGGGCUGGUGCUGCCCUGCCCUCUGAGCACCUAUACCCCGCUCUGGGCAGGCUGUCACUUGGCCUUCCCUGGGUUGGGCUUGACAGCGGACUGUCAUAGUGGCUGAGUUCAAAAUCAGCCUGCAUGGCAGCGCCUUCCUGAAGUUAGAAGGUGUUUUGCAGCCCCGGGCUGAGAGGCCCCGCAAUGUGAGAGUGGACACUCAUAGUCAAAAAGUUCUCCAUUUCAAGAACGCGUACAGCCACCUUCCUUACCGCCGGCCCUGCCGGGAGCCUGCUUCUUAUCAUUUGCACCUCAUUGCUUUCCUCACCUGCCAUCUCACACGUGGCUGCCCUGUGUUGCCCCUGUGUGCCGUGCCAAUUGUGUUUUUUUGCUCUGUGUAUAUUUUGGUUUUAUUUGGGGUUGCUGUUGAUGAUUUCCUUUGUUCCGGUGUUCUGUCUCCCCUCGCUGGCUGUGUGGGGGCUGCCUGGCCCACUGCUUGCCGCCUCCAUAGAUCCCCGUUGCGCAGCCAUCUGUCAUGGACGACAUUGAGGUGUGGCUCAGGACCGACCUGAAGGGUGAUGAUCUGGAGGAGGGUGUCACAAGUGAAGAGUUUGAUAAAUUCCUUGAAGAAAGAGCCAAAGCUGCUGAAAUGGUUCCCGACCUCCCCUCGCCCCCCAUGGAGGCUCCUGCCCCAGCCUCAAACCCUUCUGGCCGGAAGAAGCCAGAGCGGUCAGAGGAUGCCCUCUUCGCCCUGUGAGCAGCUCUGUGGUUUGCCUCCCCAGAUGGCGGGUCCCCGCUCGCACCCCGUGGACACCGGGCACUGGCCACUCCUACAUCCCCAGCUCCACACGGCCUGCACACCUGUGUUUCCAUGGAAAUGCCACCGUGUCUGCUCCCAGGCCUCCCACUAGUCAGGACCAGCUUCAGCCACUUCUUUUCUCUGAGUGGUGGGACAGCUGCAGCCAGAGACUCUCUCCCCUCCCACCACGGGCCCCUCUGCCCAUGUUUCCUCCCAGGAAGAGCGGGCAGAGUGGCCCAGCCCCAGGCAGUGCUUCCUGAGCAGACCACCCGGACUGUCUUUCCUCCACCCGCCCAUGGAGAAAGAGCACGCCCGGCCCCGCCCUGUGCUCACCUCUGCCUGGCUCAGCGACCUUCUCAGGCAUUCUGCCCUCCUGGGCCCCUCUCUCCCUGAAGGGGCUUUGUGGCAUCUCUGGAAGAGCAGGGUGUGCUGCACUCAUGGGCCUGGUCUCACUCCUUGGACUUGUCACCUUGUGACGUUUGGCUUAUCAGCAUUUGAGAAGGCUCUGCUGGGUCUCCACGGGGGGGGGGUCUCUCACCUUCUUGACCCUCUCUCCAUCAUUGAGCUGCCAGCCCAGGCUUCACACCCAAGCUGGCUCAGCAGCCGAGCCUGGCACCGAGGGGCCCUGCAGGCUCCCUGGGCAGGGAGAGGGCCAAGGACAAUUGGGAGGGCAGCAGGCAGCCCGCAGAUGGUGGCCAUGUGGCACGCUGCUGAGACGACACUACCAAUAAACCAAACUGCCACGCACACACUGCAGGCUCACACCCACACACCUGGUCCUGGCUUGUGGAGGGACUUGCACUGGAGGUAUUGCUCUGGCUUGCCUGGGGAAGUGUCGCAGAUGUGCACAUGGGCCACACUCAGUGCUGUGGCCUGGCCUGCCGUAGCCUCGCACAUCUGCCUCAAGAGCCAGCAGCAAACAGCUUUGUGGCAUCCUUGGAGGUUCCCAGUGACUGAGAGGCCUGGGCAGCACUAAGGCCCCUGCUCUGCUCCCUGGCAUAGGCCUUGGCCUCCUUGCACAGACUCUUCUGACAGUCUGGCCUCCUCCCACCUCAGAGGUCCUCUGGCCACCAAUUUAUACUCUCUCCCCAAGCUGAUCCUGAAGGCAGGCAGAGCAGCUAGGGGCUGGUAACAUGUAUUCCCAUCCCGUGUCCUCACUGGUGUGUCUCCUGGCCAUGGGCAAGGGACUCGGGUCAUCCCAGGCCCUGGUCCAGCCAGACACCUGGCCCCACACCUCUCACCAGGCUGCUGUUGCUCAGAAGGAGAAUACUGCAGCUGUGUGCAUCCCCGUGUGUCUUGGGCCCAGCUCGCUGGGUCAGUCUGCUCUUGUCCCCUCCAGCAUGCACUGCCUAGGUCAGCACAAGUUCCUGAUCCAUGGUGUAGUUAGCCCUUCCCACCUGGCAGGACGGCCCAGACCACCAGCCAAGCAGGGAAAGGGGGCUGGGCUUGACGGGAGAAGAGACCAGCGACAUGGUCGUUGGGGAGCAUUCAGGAUGGCGACUUCAGCUGGGGGUCAUGCUGAGCACCAACAGGAACUAUUCCAGUGAAGAGCAAGUGCUGCCCAACCCAGGACCCUGUGCCAGGCUAGCAGCCCUCCAGCUUCCUCCAGAGAGGAAACCUCUGUCUGGCUGAGGGCGGGACUAGCUGGGAUGUCUCACUCCAGUUGCUCAGGUUCACCCAGGAAGCUCCUCCGUGGAGUGGCCAGCCUGAUUCUAGCCCUGUCCUCUCUGGCAGCACAUGCCACACCUGCCUGGGCCUUCUGCUCCCUGAUGCUUGAUGAGCCCCUGCCUCCUCAAUGUUUCUCAAAGACAGACCCCCCUGAGGCCAGCUUGAAUGUGAAGACUUCUGAAGUCAGCUGGCUUCACUUGAGCUGCAGAAAAGGUGGCUGGGAUGGCCCAGGUGCACCCAGAGGCCCCAGCCCUUUGGCUGCCUUUGGGUUGUGACUUGGGUUGUCUCUGAGGCCCUGCCAGAGCUGGGCCUGCGGGUGGUGGGCGGCCGGACCUCGGGCAGUCAGUGCUCCGCAGCCUCAGCACUGCAGCCCAGACCCAGUGUCCUCAGAGGGAAGAGCCAGCCUCCCUGCCUCAUGGAACCAGGAGUCCCAAAAAGUCAGGAGCCUGGAGGCUCUGAAAGGAGCAGGGAUUCCGUAGUGCGUGAAGCUGAAAUAGGCGCCCUCCUGGGGAGCCCCCAGCAAAACUGUUUUUCAUACCCACUCCCAGAACUGCCCCACCCCAGCUCCAGCUCCAGCGCCAGCUGGUUGCCAGGCAUCACUGGAGAGGCCUGGCUGCCCCAGGGGCAGCAGGGAGUGGUGGACCUGUAUGGGCUGGCAGGAGGCCAUUGGCCAUGCUGACAAGUGUCACCUGUCUUCCUGGCCUGGAGCCACCCCUCAGGUGGCCUGCUUGCACCUCCUAUCCGGAGGUAGCCUGCCCCACCUGUAGGCAGAGGGGGCUCUUGCUUGAGGCCUGCACGGGAAGCAAGUAUAGCCCCGGUGCCCCAGAGUGGGUUCCGCUUAGCCCUGGCGAGAUGUCGUGUCCUGAGAUCUCUGCUCCCAGACCCCACCAUCUGGGGAGCACAGUCCUUAGGCUGCCUGGUCCAGGAAGGGGGCGCGGCUCUGUCAGGAAACCUGGACUCUCAAGGCCCAGCAGCCUCUCCGUGAGUGUUAGAAAUCACAGAUACAGUAUAUACUUAAUUACACUAAAUUAUUGCUGGGAUUCCUUAUAAGCACUAAUUAUACCUGAUUAUAGGUUAAAAUAUUUAUUUUGUCAAAACAUUUUCUUGGGAAUGUGUUUAACCCUUUCUGUGUUCAUUGUUGCUGAGAUGUGAAAACUAACCAUUCCCUCCUGCCUAUCUUUUUGGCCACUGGGCGGCAGAGAAUGGCGCUAUGUGCAGUUGGGCCCCCGGCACCAUGGGCCUUUGGCCUGCCUGCCGCAGAGUAGCCCUGCCUGGGCAGUCUCCAGGCACUGAGCAGGCCAUCUGUGGCCAGGCUGAGAGAAUGACUGGCUCGCUUACCAGCGUGCAUGGGACAAGGAGCUUUGGAGCCUCAAGGGGUUGUUGCUGGCCUGGGCUAGAGGGAAAGGUGACCAUCCGUCUGUCCUCCUGUCUUUCUAUUAGCGCCUCCAUGUGAGUGAUGGUGCCUUGGUUCACUAGCCUUCCCCCACCACCCCACCAUGCCACCUGGUGGUCUUGGGGCCUGUGCUGUCACUCCAGCCCCUGGGGAGGAGAGGACCCAGCCCGGAGAGUUGGGGCAAGGGCUCCACAUGGCCCAAGGGCAACAGAUGCUCGCAGGGCAGCUGCUGCCGAUGCUCACGCUCCUGCCCCCCUCCUUCCCGCUGCCACACCCCACCCUGGGGCCCCGCAGACAUGCAUCUCUAACUCAGUUGGGCCCAGCCUUCUGGAUGGCUUGGGGUAGGCCAUGGGCCCACCUGGGGCCAGGCCAGCCCUUGGGGCAGCUCUGGAAGAGCAGUGUGGAGGAGCCCUUGCUUGCAGCCUGGCUUCAGCCUCUGGCACUGCUGGAGUGGUCCCUGGGAGCUUCUGCACUGUCGGCUGUGGGGACGUCUCACCCACUUGGGUUACAGCCAGCCUUCCCCACCCAGAGAGAAGUGUUUCCACCCCAGAGACAUUGCCUGUCAGCCCCUGAAGUGCUCGCCUCCCCCAGUGCCCGUCACCAGCCCUUCCUAUCUGUGGGGUCCAAGUCAGGCUUCCCCUGCGGCCACCAGCCAUAGGGAGCAGCCAUCAGCCCCCGAGUCAGAACUGCUUCUGUCUGUCCAUACCUCCAGGCUCUCCCGGAGAGGGGGACGGAUAUUUAUUUCCUAAAGUUUGCACUUAAUUGUGAGGAUUCUCAGGAUUGUUGGGGGCUACUGAAAAGAGGAAUGUGUUGAAUGUCGCGUUUGCUGUCCACUCGUCCUAGAAGUUUAGUGUUUUUGUCACUGUCAUGUGUUUCUGUGGGCAGAGCUGGUUCUGGAGGGUGGGUCAGUGCACCCGAGGCUCAGAGCAUCCAUCCACCCCACUGGCCCUCCUUCCAGAUACCCUCUCUCUAAUUGGGUUCUUGCAUGUAAAAUACUCCACAAUAAAUAAAUAAUUGAACAAAUUA